GACGAACGCUGGCGGCGUGCUUAACACAUGCAAGUCGAACGGAAAGGCCCUGCUUUUGUGGGGUGCUCGAGUGGCGAACGGGUGAGUAACACGCGUGUAACCUCCCCUUGUCUGUGGGAUAACUUUUGGAAACUGGGGCGAAUACCGGGUAGGAGAUUUUGCUGCACGGUGGGCGAUGGAAAGAUUCGGCGGUUGUGGAUGGUUUGGCGGCUUACCAGCUAGUUGGGCGGGUAGGUACGUACGAAGGUUUCGACGGCUAGGCGGCCUGAGAGGGUGACCGGCGACAAGGGGACUGAGAUACGGCCCAGACGCGUACGGGAGGCAGUGGUGGGGAAUAUUGCAGAGCAGGCGGACGCGUGAUACAACGGCGCCGCGAUCGGGAAAACGUCCUUCGAGUUAUAAACCGAUUUCUCCGGAGCCGAACAGAGAGUGACGGUAAUGAGUAAAAAAGCACCGGCUAACUACGUG
rnacentral:rRNA from 1 species